AAAACUUUUAACAACGGAUCUCUUGGUUCUGGCAUCGAUGAAGAACGCAGCGAAAUGCGAUAAGUAAUGUGAAUUGCAGAAUUCAGUGAAUCAUCGAAUCUUUGAACGCACAUUGCGCCCGCCAGCAUUCUGGCGGGCAUGCCUGUUCGA
rnacentral:rRNA from 3 species